rnacentral:ribozyme from 2 species
GAUGUUGUUAAUAAUAAUAUCUUAGAAGAACAUGGUAUAUAACCUGAUGACUUUUCUAUUUCACUAAAAUUAGAUGAGGUGCUUGCACUAUUCACUGCACAGAGGCGUAAUCCUCCAAUAUGAAAAUAAAAAAAUAUAUAA